rnacentral:rRNA from 1 species
UUAAGUUAUUAAGGGCGCACGGUGGAUGCCUUGGCACUAGAAGCCGAUGAAGGACGUUACUAACGACGAUAUGCUUUGGGGAGCUGUAAGUAAGCUUUGAUCCAGAGAUUUCCGAAUGGGGAAACCCAGCAUGAGUUAUGUCAUGUUAUCGAUAUGUGAAUACAUAGCAUAUCAGAAGGCACACCCGGAGAACUGAAACAUCUUAGUACCCGGAGGAAGAAAAAGAAAAUUCGAUUCCCUUAGUAGCGGCGAGCGAAACGGGAAGAGCCCAAACCAACAAGCUUGCUUGUUGGGGUUGUAGGACACUCUAUACGGAGUUACAAAGGACGACAUUAGACGAAUCAUCUGGAAAGAUGAAUCAAAGAAGGUAAUAAUCCUGUAGUCGAAAAUGUUGUCUCUCUUGAGUGGAUCCUGAGUACGACGGAACACGUGAAAUUCCGUCGGAAUCUGGGAGGACCAUCUCCUAAGGCUAAAUACUCUCUAGUGACCGAUAGUGAACCAGUACCGUGAGGGAAAGGUGAAAAGCACCCCGGAAGGGGAGUGAAAUAGAACCUGAAACCGUGUGCUUACAAGUAGUCAGAGCCCGUUAAUGGGUGAUGGCGUGCCUUUUGUAGAAUGAACCGGCGAGUUACGAUUUGAUGCAAGGUUAAGCAGUAAAUGUGGAGCCGUAGCGAAAGCGAGUCUGAAUAGGGCGUUUAGUAUUUGGUCGUAGACCCGAAACCAGGUGAUCUACCCUUGGUCAGGUUGAAGUUCAGGUAACACUGAAUGGAGGACCGAACCGACUUACGUUGAAAAGUGAGCGGAUGAACUGAGGGUAGCGGAGAAAUUCCAAUCGAACCUGGAGAUAGCUGGUUCUCUCCGAAAUAGCUUUAGGGCUAGCCUCAAGUGAUGAUUAUUGGAGGUAGAGCACUGUUUGGACGAGGGGCCCCUCUCGGGUUACCGAAUUCAGACAAACUCCGAAUGCCAAUUAAUUUAACUUGGGAGUCAGAACAUGGGUGAUAAGGUCCGUGUUCGAAAGGGAAACAGCCCAGACCACCAGCUAAGGUCCCAAAAUAUAUGUUAAGUGGAAAAGGAUGUGGCGUUGCCCAGACAACUAGGAUGUUGGCUUAGAAGCAGCCAUCAUUUAAAGAGUGCGUAAUAGCUCACUAGUCGAGUGACACUGCGCCGAAAAUGUACCGGGGCUAAACAUAUUACCGAAGCUGUGGAUUGUCCUUUGGACAAUGGUAGGAGAGCGUUCUAAGGGCGUUGAAGCAUGAUCGUAAGGACAUGUGGAGCGCUUAGAAGUGAGAAUGCCGGUGUGAGUAGCGAAAGACGGGUGAGAAUCCCGUCCACCGAUUGACUAAGGUUUCCAGAGGAAGGCUCGUCCGCUCUGGGUUAGUCGGGUCCUAAGCUGAGGCCGACAGGCGUAGGCGAUGGAUAACAGGUUGAUAUUCCUGUACCACCUAUAAUCGUUUUAAUCGAUGGGGGGACGCAGUAGGAUAGGCGAAGCGUGCGAUUGGAUUGCACGUCUAAGCAGUAAGGCUGAGUAUUAGGCAAAUCCGGUACUCGUUAAGGCUGAGCUGUGAUGGGGAGAAGACAUUGAGUCUUCGAGUCGUUGAUUUCACACUGCCGAGAAAAGCCUCUAGAUAGAAAAUAGGUGCCCGUACCGCAAACCGACACAGGUAGUCAAGAUGAGAAUUCUAAGGUGAGCGAGUGAACUCUCGUUAAGGAACUCGGCAAAAUGACCCCGUAACUUCGGGAGAAGGGGUGCUCUUUAGGGUUAACGCCCAGAAGAGCCGCAGUGAAUAGGCCCAAGCGACUGUUUAUCAAAAACACAGGUCUCUGCUAAACCGUAAGGUGAUGUAUAGGGGCUGACGCCUGCCCGGUGCUGGAAGGUUAAGAGGAGUGGUUAGCUUCUGCGAAGCUACGAAUCGAAGCCCCAGUAAACGGCGGCCGUAACUAUAACGGUCCUAAGGUAGCGAAAUUCCUUGUCGGGUAAGUUCCGACCCGCACGAAAGGCGUAACGAUUUGGGCACUGUCUCAACGAGAGACUCGGUGAAAUCAUAGUACCUGUGAAGAUGCAGGUUACCCGCGACAGGACGGAAAGACCCCGUGGAGCUUUACUGUAGCCUGAUAUUGAAAUUCGGCACAGCUUGUACAGGAUAGGUAGGAGCCUUUGAAACGUGAGCGCUAGCUUACGUGGAGGCGCUGGUGGGAUACUACCCUAGCUGUGUUGGCUUUCUAACCCGCACCACUUAUCGUGGUGGGAGACAGUGUCAGGCGGGCAGUUUGACUGGGGCGGUCGCCUCCUAAAAGGUAACGGAGGCGCUCAAAGGUUCCCUCAGAAUGGUUGGAAAUCAUUCAUAGAGUGUAAAGGCAUAAGGGAGCUUGACUGCGAGACCUACAAGUCGAGCAGGGUCGAAAGACGGACUUAGUGAUCCGGUGGUUCCGCAUGGAAGGGCCAUCGCUCAACGGAUAAAAGCUACCCCGGGGAUAACAGGCUUAUCUCCCCCAAGAGUUCACAUCGACGGGGAGGUUUGGCACCUCGAUGUCGGCUCAUCGCAUCCUGGGGCUGUAGUCGGUCCCAAGGGUUGGGCUGUUCGCCCAUUAAAGCGGUACGCGAGCUGGGUUCAGAACGUCGUGAGACAGUUCGGUCCCUAUCCGUCGUGGGCGUAGGAAAUUUGAGAGGAGCUGUCCUUAGUACGAGAGGACCGGGAUGGACAUACCUCUGGUGUACCAGUUGUCGUGCCAACGGCAUAGCUGGGUAGCUAUGUGUGGACGGGAUAAGUGCUGAAAGCAUCUAAGCAUGAAGCCCCCCUCAAGAUGAGAUUUCCCAACUUCGGUUAUAAGAUCCCUCAAAGAUGAUGAGGUUAAUAGGUUCGAGGUGGAAGCAUGGUGACAUGUGGAGCUGACGAAUACUAAUCGAUCGAAGACUUAAUCAA